UAACACAUGCAAGUCGAACGAGAAUCACCGGAAGGAGUUUUCGGACAACGGAAGGUGAGGACAGUGGCGGACGGGUGAGUAACGCGUGAGGAACCUGCCUUUCAGAGGGGGACAACAGUUGGAAACGACUGCUAAUACCGCAUAACGCAUAGGUAUCGCAUGGUACUUAUGCCAAAGAUUUAUCGCUGAAAGAUGGCCUCGCGUCUGAUUAGCUGGUUGGUGAGGUAACGGCCCACCAAGGCGACGAUCAGUAGCCGGACUGAGAGGUUGACCGGCCACAUUGGGACUGAGAUACGGCCCAGACUCCUACGGGAGGCAGCAGUGGGGAAUAUUGGGCAAUGGGCGCAAGCCUGACCCAGCAACGCCGCGUGAAGGAAGAAGGCUUUCGGGUUGUAAACUUCUUUUGGCAGGGAA
rnacentral:rRNA from 1 species